GACGAACGCUGGCGGCGUGCUUAACACAUGCAAGUCGAACGGAAAGGCCCUGCUUUUGUGGGGUGCUCGAGUGGCGAACGGGUGAGUAACACGUGAGUAACCUGCCCUUGACUUUGGGAUAACUUCAGGAAACUGGGGCUAAUACCGGAUAGGAGCUCCUACUGCAUGGUGGGGGUUGGAAAGUUUCGGCGGUUGGGGAUGGACUCGCGGCUUAUCAGCUUGUUGGUGGGGUAGUGGCUUACCAAGGGUUUGACGGGUAGCCGGCCUGAGAGGGUGACCGGCCACAUUGGGACUGAGAGACGGCCCAGAAUCCUACGGGAGGCAGCAGUGGGGAAUAUUGCACAAUGGGCGGAAGCCUGAUGCAGCAACGCCGCGUGCGGGAUGACGGCCUUCGGGUUGUAAACCGCUUUCGACUGUGACGAAGCGUGAGUGACGGUAAUGGGUAAAGAAGCACCGGCUAACUACGUG
rnacentral:rRNA from 1 species